UAAGACGAACCGUCCUAACGUUGUUCGGAAUCACUGGGCUUAAAGGGCGCGUAGGCGGCUUGCCAAGUCAGGGGUGAAAUCCUGCAGCUUAACUGUAGAAGGGCCUUUGAUACUGGCGAGCUCGAGGGAGGUAGGGGUAUGUGGAACUUCCGGUGGAGCGGUGAAAUGCGUUGAUAUCGGAAGGAACGCCGGUGGCGAAAGCGACGUACUGGACCUCUUCUGACGCUGAGGCGCGAAAGCUAGGGGAGCAAACGGGAUUAGAUACCCCGGUAGUCCUAGCCCUAAACGAUGGGUACUAGAUUGUAGACUUGACAUGGGUUUACAAUCGAAGCAAAAGUGUUAAGUACCCCGCCUGGGGAGUAUGGUCGCAAGGCUG
rnacentral:rRNA from 1 species